rnacentral:rRNA from 1 species
UAAAGUAGUAAUAGUUAAGAUCUUGAAACUUAAAAAAUUUGGCGGUAUUUUAGUCUAUUCAGAGGAACUUGUUUUAUAAUCGAUAAUCCACGAUGGACCUUACUUAAUUUUGUUAUCAGUUUAUAUACCGUCGUUAUUAGAAUAUUUUAUUAGAAUUUUAAUUUUCUAAAUUUUUAAAAGUUAAAAUAUAUCAGAUCAAGGUGUAGCUUAUAUUUAAGUAAAAAUGAGUUACAAUAAAAUUAUUUAAAUGAAUAUAAAUUUGAAAUAUUUAUUGAAAGUGGAUUUGAUAGUAAAUUUAUAUAGAUUAAUAAU